rnacentral:rRNA from 1 species
ACUUAAAUUGAAGAGUUUGAUCAUGGCUCAGAUUGAACGCUGGCGGCAGGCCUAACACAUGCAAGUCGAGCGGUAACACAGAGAGCUUGCUCUCGGGUGACGAGCGGCGGACGGGUGAGUAAUGUCUGGGAAACUGCCUGAUGGAGGGGGAUAACUACUGGAAACGGUAGCUAAUACCGCAUAACGUCGCAAGACCAAAGUGGGGGACCUUCGGGCCUCAUGCCAUCAGAUGUGCCCAGAUGGGAUUAGCUAGUAGGUGGGGUAACGGCUCACCUAGGCGACGAUCCCUAGCUGGUCUGAGAGGAUGACCAGCCACACUGGAACUGAGACACGGUCCAGACUCCUACGGGAGGCAGCAGUGGGGAAUAUUGCACAAUGGGCGCAAGCCUGAUGCAGCCAUGCCGCGUGUGUGAAGAAGGCCUUCGGGUUGUAAAGCACUUUCAGCGGGGAGGAAGGCGUUAAGGUUAAUAACCUUGGCGAUUGACGUUACCCGCAGAAGAAGCACCGGCUAACUCCGUGCCAGCAGCCGCGGUAAUACGGAGGGUGCAAGCGUUAAUCGGAAUUACUGGGCGUAAAGCGCACGCAGGCGGUCUGUCAAGUCGGAUGUGAAAUCCCCGGGCUCAACCUGGGAACUGCAUUCGAAACUGGCAGGCUAGAGUCUUGUAGAGGGGGGUAGAAUUCCAGGUGUAGCGGUGAAAUGCGUAGAGAUCUGGAGGAAUACCGGUGGCGAAGGCGGCCCCCUGGACAAAGACUGACGCUCAGGUGCGAAAGCGUGGGGAGCAAACAGGAUUAGAUACCCUGGUAGUCCACGCCGUAAACGAUGUCGAUUUGGAGGUUGUGCCCUUGAGGCGUGGCUUCCGGAGCUAACGCGUUAAAUCGACCGCCUGGGGAGUACGGCCGCAAGGUUAAAACUCAAAUGAAUUGACGGGGGCCCGCACAAGCGGUGGAGCAUGUGGUUUAAUUCGAUGCAACGCGAAGAACCUUACCUGGUCUUGACAUCCACAGAACUUUCCAGAGAUGGAUUGGUGCCUUCGGGAACUGUGAGACAGGUGCUGCAUGGCUGUCGUCAGCUCGUGUUGUGAAAUGUUGGGUUAAGUCCCGCAACGAGCGCAACCCUUAUCCUUUGUUGCCAGCGGUUAGGCCGGGAACUCAAAGGAGACUGCCAGUGAUAAACUGGAGGAAGGUGGGGAUGACGUCAAGUCAUCAUGGCCCUUACGACCAGGGCUACACACGUGCUACAAUGGCAUAUACAAAGAGAAGCGACCUCGCGAGAGCAAGCGGACCUCAUAAAGUAUGUCGUAGUCCGGAUUGGAGUCUGCAACUCGACUCCAUGAAGUCGGAAUCGCUAGUAAUCGUAGAUCAGAAUGCUACGGUGAAUACGUUCCCGGGCCUUGUACACACCGCCCGUCACACCAUGGGAGUGGGUUGCAAAAGAAGUAGGUAGCUUAACCUUCGGGAGGGCGCUUACCACUUUGUGAUUCAUGACUGGGGUGAAGUCGUAACAAGGUAACCGUAGGGGAACCUGCGGUUGGAUCACCUCCUUACCUUAAAGAA